rnacentral:lncRNA from 1 species
CCUGUGGAUUUCCUGAGCCACCUGGUAGAGCUGAGGAUAAUGAGUUUCAUGUGGGGCCCCCUCUACUCCUCUCUGGUUCUCAAGGGCACGGGCAAGGCCAGAGUCCAUCCACCCCAGUGGAAUUCAGAGAGUGGGGAAUUGGGAAUCACGAGCAUUGGCCUGGGUCUUUCAGAUGCCAGAGAAUCCCCCAGUAUAAGGUAAAGGGUUAUUUUGGGGGACAGCUUCUGUGAUGGUUAAUUUGAUGUGUCAACUUGGUGAGGCUACAUUACUCAGCUAGUUGGUUAAACAUUA